rnacentral:rRNA from 1 species
CCUACGGGAGGCAGCAGUGGGGAAUAUUGGGCAAUGGGCGCAAGCCUGACCCAGCAACGCCGCGUGCAGGAAGAAGGCUUUCGGGUUGUAAACCUCUUUUGAUAGGGAAGAGUAGAAGACGGUACCUGUCGAAUAAGCCACGGCUAACUACGUGCCAGCAGCCGCGGUAAUACGUAGGUGGCAAGCGUUGUCCGGAUUUACUGGGUUUAAAGGGUGUGUAGCGGGGUUGAGAAGUCAGAUGUGAAAUCCUGCGGCUUAACCCGAGCACUGCAUUGGAAACUGUUGUUCUGGAGUACUGGGGAGGCAGACGGAAUUCCUAGUGUAGCGGUGAAAUGCGUAGAUAUUAGGAGGAACACCAGGGGCGAAGGCGGUCUGCUGGACAGGAACUGACGGUGAGGCGCGAAGGCGUGGGGAGCAAACAGGAUUAGAUACCCUAGUAGUC